UUCUUGGAAAUCAUGCUUACUAAAAGUAUUUAAGCAAUGCAGUUAUAAAAGAACAAAAUAUUCUUCAUAUAAACACAUAGCAAGGGUCUUAGAUAUGUAUUGCAGAAAUAUGCUUCAGUAGCUUUCAAAGCAAAAUGAUAUUUGUAUGGAAGAAGGCCAAUAGAUGCUGUGAAUAUAUAACUGCGAAUAGCAUUGUAUUUUAGCAGAACCGAAUUUUGAUUGCCAUAAUUCGAUAGAUUCUACUUGAGAGGGCUGCAGUUGAAAGCUCUAACCCUUAACCGCUUCCGCUCACAACCAGAUUUAAGACAAAACAAUAAAAUUAUGCCUGCUUCACGAAUUCGCCCCUUGGGGUCAGAGAUCAAACAACAGAAGCACACAGAAUCCACUGGAAGAGGUCACCUUUCAUUUUCCUUCAACAGCAACAACAAAUUAUAGCAUUAUCAGUUAGAAAAUUACCCGCUUUUACCAAGUUGAUAUAACCAGAAGUACCGAAAGCGGCAGAAGUAGCAAAAAGUAUGUUUAACACGCACAAAACAAAAAUAAUAAUAAACUCACGAAGGGCAAGCAUUACAAAUUAUGCACAUAAGACGCCCAAAAGCUGUAAAUGAGAGACGCACGAAUACAUAUCUACACCGAAGGCCAAACUUUUGCGGAUGAAAUUCAAGAAAGGAAAAUUGUUGGAGCAUAAUUUGGGCAGAGCGGCGGGAUGAAGUACCGACAAGUGGCAAAGGAAUGUGCGCAACAUGAAAAGCAAAACUACAACAACACUAGCAAUCACUGGUACAUACGUAUGUAUAUAUAUUUAUAUAUAUAUUUAUGUAAUUAUUUAGUAGAAAAGCAAGUAAAACUGCAGAAGGUCUCUAGCCGACAAGACAAGAACGAAGCGACGCAAUAAAACAAAGACAGCAAAGACUUCCACCAAGAAUAAGAAUAAUAAUAAGAAGAAGGAAAUAAAAAAAUAAUAUUCAGACUAAAAAGGGACGAAAAGGUCGCAGUCAAGGCGAUAAAAAUGAGAAACGUAAAAGCUUAAAUAAUAAAGCAGGCGAUGAGCAUAACCGAAGUCGCCGCCAGGGCUGAGGUGGAGAAGCACCAGCAAAAUGGUGCGGUCGUAUGAGGUAAACCCCUAGUAUGGCAUUUAUGCUGUGAGCACCGGUUGAGUGUGGCAGGAUGUGUGGCAUUUUAUUUCAUGGCUUGCCGGCAAGCAUGCUCGUAUCAUCGACAACAUUUACAGCAACAGCAAAAAAAGUAGAGAAAGUCAAAAAGGAGCGGGUGGUUGAAGUGCACCAACACACACUCACGCACUCGUACGGCAGCGUCGAAGUACACGUGUAACUACAUAUGUUGCGCAAUAUGCGAAGGAAGCCGGAAAUGUCAGACAUUCAUCGCCAAUGAACACACACUCAUACACAUACGUCAACGCAGGCUCGUAGGCAGACAAUGGCGGCAGCAAGCAGCAAAGUCAAGCACGUAUAUUGCCCUAGCAGGGCGUUGGGUGGGUGAUGGCUACGGAUUUUCACCAACACAGAUUUCAUGCCAGUCAAGCAAGUUGAGCAGCCAACAACAACAACCGUUUCGGUUCAGAUGCAACCGACCAAAAGAGAAAUGCUUCAUAGACAGCGAAUAUCUGCAUGCAGCGAAGUCACGCGGGCCAACAGACAGCCGGACAGACAAACAGACAGACGAAUGGACAAAUCAACAGAUAGUCAAGUGAGUGUGGCAAGCCGAGUGACAGCCAAGAAAUGGCAGUGGCAGCUACAGCACCAGUCGCAGCUGGAAUGUGGCACAUUCACAUGAACAUAACGGCCAUCAGCGGCAGCCCAGUGCGCACCAACGUAUGGGCAUAUGAGCGUACGGACGGUCAACGACCAGCUGCGAGAUUUGCGUAAUCACAAUGAAUGCAAACGUGGCGUAAGCAACCAAAACAACAACAACAAAAGCGAUUGCAACCACAUUAAAAGCCAUGUAUUAACGAGCCUAUGAAAGCGUCAAAGAUUGGCAGCCACAUGUGCGAGCACCA